rnacentral:rRNA from 1 species
CCUACGGGAGGCAGCAGUGAGGAAUAUUGGUCAAUGGCCGGGAGUCUGAACCAGCCAAGUCGCGUGAGGGAAGACGGCCCUACGGGUUGUAAACCUCUUUUGUCAGGGAGCAAGGUGCAGGUCGGGACCUGCUGUGCGAGUACCUUAAGAAAAAGCAUCGGCUAACUCCGUGCCAGCAGCCGCGGUAAUACGGAGGAUGCGAGCGUUAUCCGGAUUUAUUGGGUUUAAAGGGUGCGCGGGGGGAGUCACAAGUCAGCGGUAAAAUCGCGGGGCUCAACCCCGAUCCGCCGUUGAAACUGUGGGACUUGAGUGCGGGAAGGGUAGGCGGAAUGCGUGGUGUAGCGGUGAAAUGCAUAGAUAUAACGCAGAACUCCGAUCGCGAAGGCAGCCUACCGGAGCGCAACUGACGCUCAUGCACGAAAGCGUGGGUAUCGAACAGGAUUAGAUACCCCAGUAGUC